AGGAUUGCUUGAACCUGGGAGGUGGAGGUUGCAGUGAGCUGAGAUCACGCCACUGCACUCCAGCCUGGG
rnacentral:miRNA from 1 species